CUCUCCUUAGGUGGUUUUUCUUUCAGCCGCUCUCUGAUUUUCCUUCUUUUAAUUGUAACUCUUUGCUUUUUUUUGUCCCUCUACUAUUUGCCCACAGGUUUAACUAGGGGACGGGUUAAAGUCAAAGUUCACCAAGGACAUGUCAAGUCACAUUUUAGGGCUGAUAAAGAUGGAGCAUGCAAGUGGAAAAAAGUCCAUAACGCCCGUGAAAAACUAUUUUUAAUACCUAAAAAUCACAUUUUGAUUUAAAUACACUUGGAAUUGAACUUGUUUUUUGCCAAACAGCAUCUGGCUCUUCACACUUUUAACAGGUUUAUUAAGUGAAUAACUCUGAUUUUAUUGGAGUCAAAGGGUAAAAUGUAAUCUUGGACAUUGUAAAAACCAAGAUUAGGUUUAUGAUAUGUCUAUGAUAUUGUAUCAGGUAUGGCCGUUAUCUCAUGUAGGUUUGAAUUUAAGAAAGGCAGUCAAAUGCUGUGACUUGAUGUGAUUGGUGAGUUGAACAAAAGAGGGCAGCAUUUUAUUACUUUCCCUAAGUUAGACUUAAUGAGAGACUUAAAAGACCAAAUGUUAUAUUCAAGAUAAUACUUAAAUGGCACAUAUUGCCCGUUCAAGCAAAACAGAGGCUCUUGCUACAGCUCAGUAAUCAGUAGAUGUCAGCUGAACACUGGGCGGCCAUAUCUGGAAGUGUUUUUGAUUGUUCCUAUCAGCUGUGUUAUUUUUGUGGGUCUCACCAGCUGUAACAGCAUCUCCAUUUGGAAAAAAGCUCUGACUUCCAGUGGAGCUGCUGUUAUCUGUGGAGAGACACCUCUUUUCAUCAAAACCCCACAACAGCUCUCCUGCUCACUCCUUUUACAGUUGGUCAACUUCUUACUUCAAUCUAUGGUUUGAUGCUGACUAUAAAAUAAAAAUUUCUGGGUUAAUCCAAAUGAA